rnacentral:lncRNA from 1 species
CAAGAAGAUUAUUUGGAGGAAAAGAAAACAUAAGAUAGGGUAGUUGUAGUUUUAUGCUAAAUAUUUCUAACAUUAGCAGCAGCCGUGUUCAGAGUGCCAAGAGGAGGAGAAUUCAGUUAAUUAGAUUUAUGCACAGUUACAGUAUUCCUACAACUGUAAAAACAAGGAACAUUGGAC